AUAUGGCCCUAUUUUGGACCUACUAUGCAAAGCGUCAACACAUUUCGCAUGGUUCUCAGGAACGGUCUAACUAAUUUGGCUCGUUUCAGGAUUGUUUUGUGCCUUAAUUUAUGCUUAAUAAAGUGUACUAUUGAAAAUUGAAAUUAAUUUAACCAUUUCAUUGUAAUAAGCAUUUCAAGUAAAACAUUUUUUGGAUGCUUUUUGGACUUAUUGAAUGUAUUUUGGAGACAUCGCUGAACCUAUUUUGGACCCACACUCUGAUUGGUUGAAAUUUGGACAACUCGAAUUGCGGCGUGCGGCGGCAACACGCACACUUACAAAAAACUCGGUCUGAUAAACCAAAGGGCCUAUCCACGAUUAUAAUUUGGAAAAUAUUUAUUUCAGAAAUUAAAUAAUUAUGAUAAAACAAUGGAUUUGAAUUUGAAAACGUGUUUUAAUUAUAUUGAAUGGAAACUCACGCAUCUUUAGCAGCCUGAACUACCUCGAUUAAUAAAAAUAGGUCCAAAAUAGGUACUAGGUCCAAAAUAGGGUCAUAUACCCUAUUUCCAAAA